rnacentral:rRNA from 1 species
UACGGAGGGGGCUAGCGUUGUUCGGAAUUACUGGGCGUAAAGCGCACGUAGGCGGCUGAUUAAGUCAGAGGUGAAAGCCCGGGGCUACAACCCGGAAUAGCCUUUGAGACUGGAUGCUAGAAUCUGGAGAGGCGAGUGGAAUUCCGAGUGUAGAGGUGAAAUUCGUAGAUAUUGGAAGAACACCAGUGGCGAAGGCGGCUCGCUGGACAAGUAUUGGACGCUGA